AUAACCAUCAACCAUUCCGCGCGCGCGCGGACGCGAACGUGCCGUGAUUGCUCGGUAAAUCCAGUGCAUAUCUCGUUUUGGCAUUUAGACAAACACCUCGUCGGCAAGCUCGAAGCCAACACCUACUAGCUCGCCGGAGAGGAUAGCAGUAGAGAGGAUAGCAGUAGCUUCUUCUCUGUGGGUCUUCGUCAUGCUCAGCACUUUCGUCGUCGCCUUUGUUUGCAUCCAGUUUGGCUUCACUUCUGGCUUCUCGUCCCUGACCCAAGAGAACAUCAUUCGAGACCUCGGCGUCGCGCUUUCUAAGGGAUCCUGCCAUACACAAUUCUUAUUCUUUACCCCAGUAUCACUAAGGUGGCUGAUGAGAUUAGUGAAUUUUUUCCUCAUGCAAAACGAGAACUGAGUUUGUCUUUAAAUAUGCUAUCCCUUGUGCUUUUAUAAUCAGGGCAAAAAUUGUCAUGAUGGAAGAUUUUGAAACUUCCUUACAAGUCUUGAGGGUUUGAUUCUGAUAUUACUCUUGAAGUGAAUGAAAUUAAGGUAGAAAGCUAGGAUGCAUCAGCAAUGAAUUUCACUGCAUGUAACAGAUUUCUGAUUUUUUGCUCUUCAAUUUUCUUUGAAAACCUCACAAAAACAUUACAUAAGAAAAUCUUAGUUUUUUGCUAGUAUAGACAGCUAUGGUAAUUGCAAGACCUUGUUUAAUAAUAAUAUUAAAAAAAGGUCCUUCCUGCAGAGAUCACUGCCAUCAUUUUCAUCUAGCAGGACUAUGAUCCGCUUCUCAGAUCUUAAGUUCCUUUAAUGAUAGGAGUCAGUUUUGUACAACUUUUGAGUGGAAUGAAUGCCCUUUUAUUUUUUGCGAGUGAUAUUUUUAAAGCAGCUGGAGCUGGUAAGUUAAUUACUGUCUAAAGCUUUGGAAUUUCCUGACUUCAUUUAUCUGAUAGUAGUGUACUUUAGCUGUGCAAAGCUUGCAUUAAAGGUUGAGGCAUGUGAUUUAAUUCAAUAACUAUUUGAGCAUAUGUUAUUAUAUUAAUGUUUGUUCAUGAAUAUUGAAAAAGAAAAGGGGACAGGUCUUGGAAAGUAAAGGAUGAAGAGGAGAAAGAAGGGUAGAAGGUAAUAGAAGUCAGUUGCCUCUCCUGAUCACAGGAUGUCCUUAGUGCAGUUUUAGCAAGGCUUUCUGAUUAAACCAAUCAAUUUGCAACAGCUGCUAUCCUGGUCCAUACACUUCCUUAGGGCCCAUUCACACAUUUACCAUGCACGUGGCUCAUUUUUAACCACUCACAAAAUAGAAUAGGUCCACUAAAAAUAAAUUUGAUGUCAGAACAAUUAUAUAAGCUCUCAUUGCUGGUCCCAAUCUUUUAAUCAUAUUCUUUUAUGUAAGUUCAAUUAUGGUCAGAGUACAGUAGUUGAUUCACAGUUCUUUUGUUCCUGCAAGCCUAACCUCAAUGAUGUCCCACUAAUGAUGCAAUUUGAAAGCCCUUCUUUUAUUUGCUAGGUAAAACAUAAAAUCAAAAUUGCACUACAAAUAUGGAAAGAAUCCUGCAGGAAAAGAGGUUGUUGCUUUAUGCAGUUCUGUUUUCCUGAGACAGCCAGGACAUUUUACCUCCUAAUGCACUGAACCUAGUCAUUGGUUGGAAUUAGGUAAACUUAACCAAUUGCCAUUUGCCACAAAUUAACCAAAGUGAUUAGUUGAGAAGAGAUGAAAUUACUAGCUUUCGUCUCCAAUGCCUUGUACUACUUAGUCUACUUUGGUAUUUUUAUUUCUACUCUUUUUGUGCGCUUGUGAAGGACUAGUUUUAAACUUACUCCAUCAUCAGGUUCCCUGGUUUUAUUAAUUUCAUCCUAUCUAAGACAGGUCAGUCAUCAAGCAAUAUUGCCACAUGUGGACUUGGAGUUAUCCAGUCAAUGAUUUGCUAUAGUUAUUAGUUUCAAUGAGCAAACAACAUUUCUUGCUUUCUAUAUUUUUCCAUAUGUAAUGCAAGGCAUGGGAACUUUCUUUCUUGUGAUUUUCUGAUCAAUUAUCAAAAAGGAAAAAGGUUGAGAGUAGAUCUAGACCAGCUUAAGUCUCUGAAAUCUUAUUAUUAGUCUCUGUUUUUUAAUAUGAUCAAUCAUUACUUCUAUUGUUUGUUAAUUGCAUUGUCAUUUCUCAUUUGGUCUUCACAAGUUAAAUGGCUGUCAACAGAAUUGGGACCCAUAUUACUAAUAAGCAGAUUAACAGUGUUUUGCAUCUAUCAUUUGUUUACAUUUUUAUAUAAUAUAUUAUCACUAUUAUCCAACUUGAGUAGCAACCCUCAUUCUUUGAUUGUUUUGCAUCUAUCAUUUGUAUCUUAAAUUUAUUUAGAUUAAAGCCGUUCUAGAGUAGAUCAUUCAAAAUUUGAAGUAGCAGCCUCAUUUUGAAGAUGGUGUGCCUAAUUAUGGCCAUCCAGUGAAAUUUGAUAGUCCCCUUCAUGCAUGUAAUAAUUUCGGUACAUGUUCAACCCAAUGUCAAUCUUAUUUAAACAAAGUUAUUUGUGUUUUAUUUCACAGUCAUCACUACAAUCAUCUAAGUUCCCUGUUUCCUAUAAUAUGUUCCUUUACCUCGUACAUACUGUUCAAUAUAGAUGAUAGAUAAAAAAUUUAACUAUUUCUGAAGGGUGAAGAUCAUUCAAAGAUGUAUUGCAUGCUUCAAACUCAUCAUCUUGUGCAUCAUCAGGCAAAUAUAGCUUCUUGUAUAGGACAUGCUACAAACCAUACAUGCUCUGUUACAAGUAGGCAGAUUUAUUGUUUGCCAUUGAGUUGUAAAGACCUUGCAAAUUGCACAUCUUUAUCUCAUGAUUUUAUUUGAUUUUUCUUGUGAGUAAACAAAUGAAUCAAGACGUGCAGGACACGGUCUUGCACCUGCGAUUGCUAAUUCAGUCACCAGCUUUUAUCAGAUAGAUUAGAGCCAGGUAUUCUUUGAGACAUUGAUUGUAUGCAAAAGGCCUCUCCAGAUGAACAAGGUGGCCUGCUUUCUCUAUCCCUUGUACUGUUGCCUUCUCUCCCAGUUGCCUGCAUUUGUGCAUUGGUAAGUCUUUAACCUUUUUAUGUUAAAUAUGCUUAUUUUGUGGAUAUACUCUUGUUAAAUUAUAUUUACAUGCUAUGCAUAUAAAGAGUGUUUAUCAAAUGUUGAUCUCUAGAUAUAAUAGAAUACAUUAACUCAUUAACAGUAAAUUGAGAGGUGUUGACAAAUAGAUGAUAAGUGUCCUGUAUAUGUGUGAAGUUUAAUAUCUCAAAUAUGUGUUAUUAUCUUUUCUCCCGAAAUGGGAUUCGGUGUCGACAGGCUCUCUUGGCCAUUGACUACAAAUAGUAUUAUUAUACACAUAAAUAUUGACAA